AAAAAAGAAUCAUCAUGCCUAUGUCCCAGGGUUGUUGAGAAGCGUUUUUCCAGCACCUGGGACCAAGCAGGGACGCUGGCACAUGGUAAUUCUGAGUGGAUGCCAGGGGAUGUUCCGUCCAACAGCCUGGUGAUUGUAAUUUACCACAGUCUCAGAUUAAGAAUAUGUAAAUAAUCCCUACAUUCCCCUUUAGUAACUCAUCACAAAUAUUCCAUUCAGGAGUCAAAUUUUUACUUGUGAAUAUGAAGCAGAACACUGAUUUUACAGUGUCUGUCCGUAUUCAUCCAAGCCUCUCUCCUCUUUCUCAACAUUUCCUUUUUUUUCUUUUUCAAGUAAAAGGAAUUUAAUCACAUCUUCAUUUGUAAUUAAAAAACUGGAAACAGGUUACACAUCUGAUAGAAGCAGGUCAUUUAUAUUGUACAAUAUGCAACUUAUUUGAACAAUAAUAUGGGACUAUAUGACAUGGUAUUGUGAUAUGUAUAUGUAUGGAGAUCCUGGCCUAAUAUACCUGAUUUAUCAGUUUGAACUGUAAAGCUCAUUUUAAUCCAAUCAAUGUUUAUUGAGUGCCUGCCAUGCGGCAGGCAGUGUUCUAGCCCACAUGAUGUUUACUGUCCAGUUGGGGUGGUGGGUACUAAAAAGUAAUUGCAAGUCAAAUAAAUGUUACCAAAAGGGAAGUUCAUGGAAUCACAUAGCAGAAGAAUUUAGACUAUAUAGCGGUAUGGUAAAUGCCUCCUUGAGAAAAUUAUGCUUAAGCUGAAACAUGAGAAAUUAGAAGGAAUAUGCCCAAGGUGAAAUGUGAUCAGGAGAAGAGUGGUAGAGGGGAAAAAGGGAGAGGCAGUUUCAGAACUGCGAGUGACAGGCGGCACGGUUGGGGCAUAGAGGGCAGAGGGAAGGAUAUUAGUGCUUCGGCUCAAAAAAGUUCUUAGAUUUUUAGGAUAUUAUUUCUUUGCUAGGUAAGUUGGCUGGAAAAUCAGAUAAUGCAGCAUAUUUAGGUCUAAAACCAGGGGGAAAGUCUAGCCAUUAUUUAAAGUAGCAUUCUAUCAUAAUGCCCCAAAUUCACUUGAAAUGACUGAUAGUUCUAGAGUAAAAAUAUUUUCACUCCUACACCCUAUGCCUAUUUCUAGACAUUAUCUGUAGUUUCAUAACUGUGUCCAGAUGGGGGUUCUCUUAAGGUCGUAAAGACUGUAUGCUCUUGUAACUAUGUCACUAUCUUCCCAACAUGUUAUGGUGUUUACAAGCGUAACUGAAUUCAGAACUUUAUACCACUUCCAUUGGAACUCAGUACAUUUCACAUGUUCUUUUGAUCAGAAUCUGAUCAUUUAUUUCACUUCUGGGUUGGCAGUCUCCAACAACACAUUUCUUGUGUUACAUCUGUGUGGGCUGGAAAUUUACAACUUAAAAUGCAUUCUUGCAUUAAACUACUAUCAUGAACGGUGGCUUCAACGAGGAUAUGCAUCCUGUAGUAUUGCUGAAUUAAUUUAUUCUGCAUUUGACUUUUGAUUUGGCCCACUUGUGGUUACCUUACAAAGCAUCCAUCCCCUUCUUUUUGUUUCUGUUAUUUCUAUCCUUUUUUCCUCUGCAGUGCACACAAUGUCAGUCUACCAAGCCCUGUCAACAUUACCUUCUGAAUGUCCCUUUCCCACAAUUCCCGUGCUGCUUCCUGGUUCAGGCUCUUAGCCUUUCUCACUUUGACUAAUGCCUCCAAAUUGCCUGCAUGCUCUCUCCCAUCAACAACCCUCCAUCCUGCUGCCAAAGUUUUCCAUCUUGUUGCCAAUCUUUCCUCCUUAAAACCCAUCACUGUUUCCCUUCACCCAAAGCAGCUGUCUCCAAAUCUCAGUGAACUCAUACCCUUAACUGGAAAAACAAUGAGGAGCAUGCAAACCCAAUACGGCCAAAUUUAUUUUUUAUAACGUGUUUAUUAUAUUAAUAUUAGGUCUAAUAUAAAUUGCAUCACAAGAAGAACAAUUUUAAAUAUAAACUGAACUGCAAAUACAUAAAAGUUACAGUUUUUCCUAUACUCCCUUGAACUCCCACAGACUCACAUAUACUGUACCUUUGAGCUACAGUGUAUCGCUUAGAAUUCUCUCACCUACCACAGUCACUCUUUUUUUUUUUUUUUUUGGUGGUGCAGCAUCAGCAUUUUAGUUCCCCCACCAGGGAUUGAACCCGUGCCCCUGCAAUGGAAACGGGGAGUCCUAACCACUGAACCGCCAGGGAAUUCCCAUAGUCACUCUUGACUGUAUCUUUGCACAGGUUGUUGCUUCUGCUUGGAAAUUCUUUCACACUCCCACUCCCCCCAGCCGUUCUUUGCCUAAUUCAUACCCAUGGUUCAGGACUCAUUUGCUUGACUAUCUUCAAGGAUACCUUCCUGGAUCCUCUCAGACAGGAUCAGAUACCUUUCUCUGUGUUCCCAUAGCAACCUGAGCAUCCUUUAUGUAGGCUGUGUCCCUUACUAGUCAUUAAGCUCCUUGAGGAUAAGGAUCGGGGAUUUCAUCUUCAUGUUAUCAUUGCCUAGCACAGGACUCAGUACAUAGAGCAACGUUACUAUUCAGCUGAAAAUAGUUUGUCAACGGUAGUUUGGUGGAAAGCAAGCUGGACGACAUGUCGUUUUGGUCAUGGUGGGGGGCUUGUAAUGUUUUAUGCAUCUUUAAGAAUUGUUGCCCAUUUUGCUUUCCCCCCCCAGGAACAUGAUUGUACUUUUUUAUACUAAUUUAUUUUCAUCUAAUUUUAACUGCUCUCCACUAUUAGCCAUUUCAAAAAUUUGGUACAACCUAGAUGUUUAAAAAUAGGUAAAUUGCAAAGAGUACGCAUGAUAUUAGAUUGUAGAAAAAAUACAUAGGCUCUAUGUAAAAGAAUCUUGGAGGAUAUAUUCUAAGGUAUUAAUAAACAUUUUAUUACAAAAAUAGGUUUGUAUUAUUAAAACACUUCCAGCUCUUUACAGAAAAUCGGAAACCACAAAUAAAGAAAUAAAUUAAGAAACAGUCAAAAUGUCACUGUCCUAGAGACAGCUGUUAGGUGGGAGAGGAUGGGGGGAGGGGAGACGUAUAUGAGUCGAUUAGGGACAGAUUAGGAAAAGGGUCGUCUUGAUUGGACUUUUGGAGGGAAGCACAGAAAAUCAAAUUAAUUUGGUGGGAAUACAAAGGAUCGCUUGAAAUAAAUGAGGAAUUCUUUUGAAGUAGCUAAACCUAUCUUCCUACCUCAGAUUAAAGUACAGUUUAUUCAUUUAAUUUUGCUAGCCCCAAAUCUGGACAAAUUAAGUACAUGUUUAUUUCCAGAUUUAUUCUCUUCUCCUGUGUUGCAGCCAAAUUAUGGUCCUCGUGCUUCCCCUAAACUUGUCGCUAAUGUCCUCUUGACUUUGCAAGUUAUGCUAUGCACAAGUUAUGCUAGGCACAAGUUAUUAUUAUAAUGAAAGCCGCCAAUCAUUGUCUAUUGAAGUAUGUCCACCUUUCAGAGCUCACCUGAGCUGCUUCCUCCUCCGUGAAGUCUUCUCUUCCCAGCCCACCCUUACCACGCAACUGCAAGGAAUCGCUUCCCUUUGAAUCUCUGUAGAGCCCUUUUUUGGUUGAUGGCCUCUAUAUUCUGGUUAUGGAAAGGGAACAGAGCAGAGAAUUUGUACUGUGUGACAGUACAUUUUAAACUAAAAAGCAUUGUACAAAUAUAUGUUAUCUCAUUCUUAGAACUAGAUUAUAAACUUCUUUAGGGCAGAGAUUAUAUUUUAUUCAAACUUUUGUCUCAAUUGCCUGACAUAGUUAUUUAAUAAAUAUUUGUUAAAUAGCAUAUAAUAAUUCUUUUCUGCUUUCCCUUGUAUCAAUUCUUUGGGAGCGGCCAUGAGUUUUAAAGAAAGACUUUUCGAGCUUCCCUGGUGGCGCAGUGGUUGAGAGUCUGCCUGCCGAUUCAGGCGACAUGGGUUCGUGCCCCGGUCUGGGAAGAUCCCACAUGCCGCGGAGCGGCUAGGCCCGUGGUGUCCAACAUUGCUUUUUUUUCUUUUUUUUUUUUCGGUACGUGGCCCUCUCACUGUUGUGGCCUCUCCCGUUGCGGAGCACAGGCUCCGGACGCGCAGGCUCGGCGGCCAUGGCUCACGGGCCCAACCGCUCCGCGGCAUGUGGGAUCUUCCCAGACAGGGGCACGAACCCGUGUGCCCUGCAUUGGCAGGCGGACUCCCAACCACUGGGCCACCAGGGAAGCCCCAAGAUUGCUUUUUGGUGGAGGGAAAAAAACCCACACAUAGAAUUGGUGACCAGAAUUAUUAUAUAGAUAAAUAUUUAAUAGCUUGAUGUAACCAAAGAAGCGUUAAAUGAAACCAGUACAAAUAUAUAAACUCUAUUUUAAAAUAUAAAUAUAUAUACAGACAUAGAAAAAAAUGUUAAAAUGAUAUACAUUCUUGAAUGGUGGAAUUAUGAAUGACCCUUAUCCUAGUAUACUUUUUCUUAGUUUUGUAAUAUGCAUAAAAUGAGUAUGUCGAAUUUAUAACUAGAAAAAUUGGAUUUUUAGUUAUAAAUAUAAAGCUGCUUCUUAUUUUUAAAGAGAGCAUAUCAGUCUCCCAGAUAACUUGAGGAUGUGCAAUUUGUGUUGAGCUUACUUUUAAUGAAUCCUGCGUCACUUUACAUUUUUCCUUGUUUCCAAGUAGAAAAACCAAUUGAUUUCUUCUAAAGUUCCACUAGGUGGUGCUACGGUGGAAUUAAUCAUGGCUUUUUUUUUUUUUUUUUCCCCUUUUCUUUUCUUUAAUCCACUAGUUCUCAAACUUUAGAUCCUGCUUUGGAAUUCCAGGCACUAUUCAUUUCCCCCAGUCAAUCUCUUCAUGGUGCCAUUACCAAUUAACAAAAACAGAUCACCUCACUGCACCUCUAGUGCUGAUUUAAUGUGAUAUUAAGGAGGUGACAUCUAUUAAAUAUGAUAGAAAAUCCAUUGAUUUAUGCUGAAUGAUAAUAUAAGCAAUGGUCUGUUGUAAACAUUAAACAGACAUAUAUCCAACCUUGAUAACCAUGAGUCCUUGGAGAUAACUGGAGGUAUCUGUACCAUGUUUUGUGAACCACUAAUUUACAAUACAGUACGUUAAGAAAUUUGGAUUGUUAAUUUUGCAAUUACCAGUCAUUCUCAAGUUUCGGAUCUUGAGCUACAGGAAUCCAAAAUAAUGGCACACUGACGAUUAAAUGCAUGCUAUUGUGUAUGGCAUUUAGAGCAGUCCGUGCAGAGGCCAGAAGUGUUCUGGCCCAGAGGGCCUUUAUUGAUAAGGCUCAGUAAAUUUCUCCUUUUGCUGCACAUUUGUCCCCCAGCGAUCUUUCUGGCUCAUGGCUUCAGACAUCACAAAAUUUCCUCAUUCUAAUAAUAUAUGCUCUUUAGCUUUUUUUCCUGGUAAUUUUGUCAAUAAAUGUCAUGAGUUGUAAUACUGUGCCAUUAGAAAGAUUUAGCAAAAAUAUGUCACAAUUCGUUACUUACAAAUAAAUUUAUGUAGUAAAAAGAAAAACUCCAAUUUUUUUUUUCCUGUGUAGGGAAAAACCCAGUUCUUCCCUACUGUGUGUUCCUCUCCUGUGUGUCUCCUUUCCCACUCUCAUCAAACACUUCACACCUGACACUUUUGGUCACGAAAUGUGGGUCUUUUCCCCAAUAACAAAGAGCAAGUCUUUGGGAUGCCAGCUGGGUGUCCUACGAUUUAACUAAAUUCUGAUCCUAUCGACCUGGAGGUAGGUCAGAUCCCACAGGUUAAGGGCUCAAUCCCAUAAGACUCCCCUCAACACACACUCACAGUCACACACUUCAGAUGGCAGUCACAAGCCCAGGUUAUCACCCGUGCUCCUGACCAAACUGGAUAUAAAUCAGACAUCCGUUCAGCCCCCUCAUCAGCUUCCAUUAAUUUGCUAGAGCAGCUCACAGAACUCAGGGAAACACUUAAUUACAUUUACCAUUUUAUUAGAGGAUAUGAUAAAUGAUACAGACGAAGAGAUAGACAGGGUGAGGUCUGGGAGGGUCCCAAGCCCAGGAGCUUCUAUCUUCAUGGAGUUGGGGUGCAUCACCCUCCCGGUGUGGAUGUGUUCCUCCACCUGGAAGCUCUCCGAAGCCCCUCCCAUUGGGAUUUUAUGGAGGCUUCCUCACAUAGGCGUGGUCAAUUAUUAACUCCAUUUCCAGCCCUCUCCCCUCUCUGGAGGAUGAUGGAUGAGGCUGAAAUUCCGAACUUCUCACCGGGAGCCCACUCGGACUCACCUCCACAGAGCAAAAGGUGUUUCUAGUGCCCUUAUCAGUUAGGAAGUUUCAAACAUUUUAGGAGUUUUGCGCCAGUGAUGGGGUCAAAGACAAAUAUUAGAACAAUAGGUGCUCCUAGUAUUCUUAUCACUUAAGAAAUUACAAGGGUUUGGGGAGCUCUGUGCCAGGAACCCGGGACAGAGACAUACAUAUAUUUUUUUCUAUAAUCUAACACAUAGUGUCUGUAAAAGGUUGAUGUGGUAAAACUAAAUAAUGACCUCCAAACGUCCACAUCCUAAUCCCUGGAAUCUGUGAAUGUUAUUUUAUAUGGCAAAAGGGACUUUGCAGUUGUGAUUAAAUUAAGGAUCUUGAGAUGCAGAGAAUAUCCUGGAUUUUCUGGGUGGGCUUGAUGUAAUUACAAGUCCUUAUAAGAGGGACACAGGAGGAGUCAAUGGCAGGGGAGAAGGCCAUGUGACUAUGGAAGCAGAGAUUGGAGUGAUGUGCUUUGAAGAUGAAGGAAGGGGCCACAAGCCAAAGAAUACAGGCUAGAAGCCGAAAAAUGCAAGGAAGUGAAUUCUCUUUUAAGAACCUCCAAAAUAAUGCAGCUCUGCAAACACCCUGACUUUAGCUCAGUAAAACUGAUUUUGGACUUCUGGCCUCCAGAAAUGUAAGAAAAUAAAUUUGCAUUGUUUUAGGCCAUUAAGUUUGUGGCAGUUUGUUAUAACGGCGAUAGGAAAUUAAAAUACUGAUACUUGUAUAUCUGAUUCUUGCUCAGUUACCUACCCCUAUUAAUAUAGCAUUGUUGCAUCUAUUUUGAAAUCCUAACCUGCCUAUUUUAUUGUAAUAUAAACAUUGUAAUACAUUGCAAAAAUACGUGCUACUUCUCAUGGAUUUAUUAACUAGUUCAAUUUUUCUGGAAGAAGGUUUAGCAACAUGGAUCAAGAUAUUUUUAAAUGUUCAUACCCUUUGACCCAAUAAUGCUAGAUAUCUGAGAAAAUAACCAUAAUUACAUAGAUUUUAUACAAUAGUGGGCAUUGUAAGAAUAUAACCAAUAUUAGAGGAGAUAUUAAUAAAAGAGAAAAAACAAACAAAAUAAAUA